rnacentral:snRNA from 1 species
GGAUGUGCGGCUGAUCUGGCUACAACAUCUGUCACCCCACUGAACACCAGGGCUGAUUCAACUGACUUGGCUGCCUAGAAGGGUGUCCCCUUACUCCCUUACUGCUCUAUAUGCAUCCCUUCCAAAGCCACAUGCUCAGCUGAAGACGAUGACCAUUAUCCCUACUAGAGGACGACCAUUCUUCAGUCAAGGAUAUAUGAAUAGCUGUCCUCUCCUGCUAGAACCUCCAAACAAGCUCUCAAAAUUGGUAUAAGUUAAAAAUGUGAUUUUGCAUUUACAGUUAACCGAGCCAAUUCAGUAUGCCUUUCCUU